UACGUAGGGUGCGAGCGUUGUCCGGAAUUAUUGGGCGUAAAGAGCUCGUAGGCGGUCUGUCGCGUCGGUCGUGAAAACUUGGGGCUUAACCCUGAGCUUGCGGUCGAUACGGGCAUGACUGGAGUUCGGUAGGGGAGACUGGAAUUCCUGGUGUAGCGGUGAAAUGCGCAGAUAUCAGGAGGAACACCGGUGGCGAAGGCAGGUCACUGGGCCGCAACUGACGCUGAGGAGCGAAAGCAUGGGGAGCGAACAGG
rnacentral:rRNA from 1 species